rnacentral:tRNA from 1 species
GUGGGUAUAUCUCAGUGGUAGAAAAUUCGACUUCAAAUCGAGAGGUCCCCGGUUCAAACCCGGGUGCCCCUU